rnacentral:misc_RNA from 1 species
GGGAUAAAGGCUUAGUUGAGUUGUCUUGCUUUGCUCAAGCGCACGCUUGUGCCUUGUGCCUAGGCUUCAGAACCCCUUGGUAGUGCGCUUUGAGCUUUUAAAACUACGGGCUUGUUUAUUUAUUUUUGGAAGUGAAGUAUACAAUGAAAGAUAUGCUUUGGAAAAGUAUGCAAUUAACCCUAGCUAAUAAUCAUUGACUAAUAUUUUGCUGGAGUUCCUACUCAAGUAAGCAGCAUUUAUAGGAUAUUUUGGGUCUUCAAUUUAUCCUAAAAAACUUUUUUCGGAUAAGAGUACUCUAAAUGUGUAUGACAUUGUGAUACUUGCAAAUCAGCUAGAAUCUACUGAAAGUUUAUAAAAACGAGCUGAAUCUAGUCCCCAAACAAGAGAAUGAUUAAGUGGUCCAUGGACACGAAACUUAAAAGGGUUACACUUUGUUCACUUGUUAACAUGAUGCACAGAGUCAAUAUUUACAAUGGAAGAUAUAAGAUAUAAUAAACCAUAAAUCACUUCUUUAUAUAAACAUCAAUGGAGCCAAUGAUUUUGCUAAUCAAUCACAUUAUUUUUUUUCAUAAGCAUGAGAUUCUUCAAUACUAAGAUUUUCAACUAGUUAAUUGGUUGAGAUGUUUGACUUCAUCUCAUUAAGUUUACUUUUUCCAAGGGCCUAGCCAACAUCUAAUUGACCUUUUUUUUUGUCUCCUUGAAUAUCUACAUGGUUGCAAUCUGCCAUAUUUGGCUUAGUGCGGAUGCAACAUGUACAUUGGCUGAUAAGAAUCAUAAGAUUAGUGUGUUAUACCUUUAGAUCUUUUUUGCAUGUUUGCUUAAUUCCUUCUGUGGGAAUUUUUUUCUCAAUAACCUAAGCCAUUCUUUCUGUGCAGGAUUGCAAACCAAAUUUAUUUGAAUCUGGUCUGCAGCCUCCUAACUGUUGGAAUCUUUCCUCAUCAAAGAAGGUUAAGAAGUAUACUGGUGAUACAAUUAUAUCAAUACAGAAUUUAUCUAGAUACAAGAAUAGUGGUUUAUAUAUGUUCUUUGCUGGUCAACAUAUUGGUAAGACGCCUUGUUUUCUGAAUCAAUAUUUAGGUAUGCAGAUUAGGUUAUAGGAAAACCACAGGGAAUGGGCUUAUAGAGAUAGAUGAUACAUACUCUCAGCAUGCAAUUUUCAGUGGAACUGUUACUGGUUCUUUUGUCAAUUCUUGAAUGCAAGUUGAAAUGAUAGAUGCUAUUAGUGCAAUGCUUCUAUUUUUAAUUUUUGUUGAUAG